rnacentral:rRNA from 1 species
CCUACGGGAGGCAGCAGUGGGGAAUAUUGGGCAAUGGAGGAAACUCUGAUGCAGCAACGCCGCGUGAAUGAUGAAGGUUUUCGGAUUGUAAAGUUCUUUUCUAAGGGAAGAAGAAAGUGACGGUACCUUAGUAAUAAGCCCCGGCUAACUACGUGCCAGCAGCCGCGGUAAUACGUAGGAGGCAAGCGUUAUCCGGAAUUACUGGGGGUAAAGGGGGCGUAGGUGGUUAGGUAAGUGAUUAGCGAAACUCCUAGGCUCAACCUUGGAAUUGCAACUAAAACUAUUGGGCUUGAGUGCAGGAGGGGCAAGCGGAAUUCCUAGUGUAGCGGUGGAAUGCGUAGAUAUUAGGAGGAACACCAGUGGCGAAGGCGGGUUGCUGGACUGUAACUGACACUGAGGCACGAAAGCGUGGGGAGCAAACAGGAUUAGAUACCCUAGUAGUC